UAAGUUAUGGCUUAGUGCCAGGAGAGUGCUUGCUUGGCAUGCAGAAGGCCUUGGGUUCAAUUCUCAAUAACACAA
rnacentral:tRNA from 1 species